rnacentral:rRNA from 1 species
AUUGAACGCUGGCGGCAUGCCUUACACAUGCAAGUCGAACGGCAGCAUGGAAGAGCUUGCUCUUCUGAUGGCGAGUGGCGAACGGGUGAGUAAAGCAUCGGAACGUACCGUGUCGUGGGGGAUAACGUAGCGAAAGGUACGCUAAUACCGCAUACGCACUGAGGUGGAAAGCAGGGGAUCGCAAGACCUUGCGCUAUAAGAGCGGCCGAUGUCAGAUUAGCUAGUUGGUAGGGUAAAGGCCUACCAAGGCGACGAUCUGUAGCGGGUCUGAGAGGAUGAUCCGCCACACUGGGACUGAGACACGGCCCAGACUCCUACGGGAGGCAGCAGUGGGGAAUUUUGGACAAUGGGGGAAACCCUGAUCCAGCCAUGCCGCGUGAGUGAAGAAGGCCUUCGGGUUGUAAAGCUCUUUCGGCUGGGAAGAAAUCGCACAGGCUAAUACUCUGUGUGGAUGACGGUACCAGCAUAAGAAGCACCGGCUAACUACGUGCCAGCCGCCGCAGUAA